AAUGGAGGCAAACUUGAAAGUAAUACUACUGAUCUUUUACAUGAAAAACCUUUAAAAAGUCAUCUGUCAAAAGAAAUUCAAAAUCCAAAUGUGGAACUGAAUAACUCUCCUGCUCAGAAAUUUGAAGAAAGAAUAUAUACUCAGUGGUCAACAGAACAAGAAGAACUAUUGGAAGAAAUGUUUGGAAUAUUUAUCAGAGAUAAAAACCUUG